UAGGGGGGACGUGGAUUGAGAGGGAUGUGGUGUGUAGCCUUAAUGGGAAGCACUGCCAUUCUUAGAGGGAGAUGUUUGUUAUCCCUCGCUGUGAUUAUUAAAGAAUUUGAACUGGGUGGUAUGAAGCCGAUCAAAGCCAUGAAGUUUUGAGUGAAGAGUCAUGCCUUCUCCAUGUCUGGCCUUCCCUCUUGAAGAAAUGAGUGGAGGGCGACAUCUGCUGGAGGAUAUAAGGCCUUUUGAAGCGAAGCGAAAUUUAAACCCCUCACCCACCCACCAAGACAAGGGUUGCUGGAAUGGGAAUGUGCAAUUCUUCAGCUAGAAUCGCACUCUUCUACCUUAACUGUGGUUUUGUGUUAUACCAGAAUUAAUGGCAACCACAGUCACUGCAAAUGAGGCUUCCUCUUAACUAUGGAAGCCUGAGAUCCUGGAUUCAAAUCUUGGUUAAGAGGGAAUCCCACUGGCAAAAGAAACUGGAGCCAAAGGAGGAGAGGGGAGGGCAGCCCUAUGCCUCCCAAAUAUUAUGUUGCGUGAUUUGCUUUUAAAACUACCGCUCAUUUGUUUUUAA